UGAAUAAUAACAGUCAACAAGGAGACUGGGCAAUGAAAUAGUGGGCUAAGAAGAAUGGGAGAGGAACUGACGAAGGAAGGAUGGGCUAAAGGAGGAAUGGUAAUACAGACCAGUGUGACCAAAAGGAGGAAAGGUGAAAGAAGCAGGAUGGGCUAGGGACCUGAGCACUGAGGAAGAGGCGAAGAAGGCCUGAACGUUAACCUGGAAGAGCCAGAGGUGGGUGGGGGUGUGGAGAAGAGGGCGUGCACAGCGCAUGCGCUGGGAGCACACUGCGGUGACUCCGCGGAGGCAGCCCUUUCAUGCCAGCAGCGCAGCGGAUGCAGGAUCUGCUGCAGGUCUGUGCUGCUGUCCACUACUACCUUGGCCCGCUGCUGCCACUCUGGCACUGCGAAGUCUGUAACGCCGCUCCCUCUUCCCCGUCUUGGGAUGGCAAGUACCAAAAAUUCAUUCUACGAUACUCGAUGCAGCCACUAGACUGUGAGGUCCUUGAGGGAAGACAGUGUCUUCUUCUCCAAAAUCUAGCCUGGUACAUUAGUAAGCCUCAGAAAUGUUCAUUGGAUGAAUAAAUGAAUAACUCAUCAACAAACAUUUUUUGUGUGCCCACUAAGGUAGUGAGCCUGGACUUCCAAGAGUUUGGGGUUCUCCCCUCUAACCCUCCCUAACCUACCACACAUUGUCUUGGUAACCUGCCUGGCUUUUUUAUUUGGGAGUACAGGACAAAAGGUCAUAACUGCCUGGCAUACAUAGAAGGACCUGUAAGAAAUCAGGUUUACCUGUAUUCAAACACAGGAAUAUUGAGAUCUAAAGAGGGAAGGACUUGCAGGCAGCUAAAAAGGUGACAGUAAAUGCAAUCAAAACCCAUGCCACUGGUGAAGAAGUAUAUUGAGCCCUGCCUGCCCCAGUGAGGUUACUAGAGAAUUAGGAGAGGCUCAAAUCAGCAUCUUGUAUGUGGCUGUCAAACCAUUCUGAAGCCUUGUGAGUUCCAGCAAGCCACAGUGAAUCAACAUUGCUUUGGAUGUUCUUGUGAGGCAGUUGGGAAGCCUUUGGCUAAAUUGUAAAGGAUAUCUUUGACAAGCAUUUUCAGAGAGUUCACCAGAUCUUCCAUGUGAAUGAACAUGCAACAGGAAAGGGGGUCCUCAGUGAUUAAGAUUUAGAAAGAAUUAAUCCUUCCAUUGAAAUCUCAAAAUGUGAUCUGGAUAAAGGAAUGGGUAUCUUAGUCAAGGAAGUGAUUGUUGAAUGUGGAGGAGUUGCAAUUUGCAAAUGCCUGCAGAGUUCAGAUGGGGUAUGUCAACAUAAGAAACAUUCAAACCUGUGGAAAAUUUUUGUGAAUUUAUUUGAGGCAAACUGACGACAACUGCUGAGAAGCAAAACCACAACGAAUUGAGAAAAUGCUCCGGAGAAUGGCAGUUUUGCACCUUAUUUUAUAUAUCACAAUCAAAAGGGGAGGUGUAAGGGGGUUACAUGAAGUCCACUGGUGAUAGAUUAGGGAGGGGGGAGAAAGCAAAGUGGGGAAAACUCUGGGAUUGGAUAAAAGAUAAAAUGAUAGACACAUAUUUCUUACACUGGGGGGUACAACAUAGUUAACAGUCAACAAUUAACAUGAUAAGAGUAACAACAAGGUGAUUUGUGGUCUCCCCAUGGUGCUGUGCCUGUGCUUUGAGGCCCUGGUAAAAGGAAAUUUGACAUUCCAAACGUCUGUUAGCAUAGAUGCAAAAA